UACGGGGGGGGCAAGCGUUGUUCGGAAUUACUGGGCGUAAAGGGCUCGUAGGCGGCCAACUAAGUCAGACGUGAAAUCCCCAGGCUCAACCUGGGAACUGCGUCUGAUACUGGAUGGCUUGAAUUCGGGAGAGGGAUGCAGAAUUCCAGGUGUAGCGGUGAAAUGCGUAGAUAUCUGGAGGAAUACCGGUGGCGAAGGCGGCAUCCUGGACCGACAUUGACGCUGAUGAACGAAAGCCAGGGGAGCAAACGGG
rnacentral:rRNA from 1 species